UUGGAGGGCAAGUCUGGUGCCAGCAGCCGCGGUAAUUCCAGCUCCAAUAGCGUAUAUUAAAGUUGUUGCAGUUAAAAAGCUCGUAGUUGAAUUUCGGGGUUAGUAGGUUGGUCAUGCCACUGGUAUGUACUGGUCUCACUGAUUCCUCCUUCCUGAUGGGACGUAAUGCCAUUAAUUUGGUGUUGCGAGGAAUCUGGACUGUUACUUUGAAAAAAUUAGAGUGUUUAAAGCAGGCUAACGCUUGAAUACAUUAGCAUGGAAUAAUGAAAUAGGACGUUCGAUCUUAUUUUGUUGGUUUCUAGGAUUGACGUAAUGAUUAAUAGGGAUAGUCGGGGGCAUUAGUGUUCAAUUGUCAGAGGUGAAAUUCUUGGAUUUAUUGAAGACUAACUACUGCGAAAGCAUUUGCCAAGGAUGUUUUCAUUAAUCAGGAACGAAAGUUAGGGGAUCGAAGACGAUCAGAUACCGUCGUAGUCUUAACCAUAAACUAUGCCGACUAGGGAUCGGAUGAUGUUAAUUUUUUAAUGACUCAUUCGGCGCCUUACG
rnacentral:rRNA from 1 species